CCCUUAGAUGUUCUGGGCCGCACGCGUGCUACACUGAGUAAAUCAAUGGGUAAGGGAACACGAAAGUGCAACCUAAUCUUGAAAUUUGCUCGUGAUGGGGAUCGACGGUUGCAAUUUUCCGUCGUGAACGAGGAAUACCUUGUAGGCGCGUGUCAUCAUCACGCGCCGAAUACGUCCCUGCCCUUUGUACACACCGCCCGUCGCUCCUACCGAUUGAGUGAUCCGGUGAGGCUCUGGGACCUGGACGGAAAGAGCGUUUCGCUUGUUCUGUUUGGGAAACUUGGUCGAACCUUAUCAUUUAGAGGAAGGAGAAGGCGUAACA
rnacentral:rRNA from 1 species